UACGAAGGGGGCUAGCGUUGCUCGGAAUUACUGGGCGUAAAGCGCACGUAGGCGGCUCUUUAAGUCGGAGGUGAAAUCCUGGAGCUCAACUCCAGAACUGCCUUCGAUACUGAAGAGCUCGAGUCCGGGAGAGGUGAGUGGAAUUCCCAGUGUAGCGGUGAAAUGCGUAGAUAUUGGGAGGAACACCAGUGGCGAAGGCGGCUCACUGGACCGGUACUGACGCUGAUGCGCGAAAGCGUGGGGAGCAAACAGG
rnacentral:rRNA from 1 species